CUGAUACCAGUAACUCCAGACAGGUUAUACUCAUCAGCUGAUACCAGUAACUCCAGACAGGCUAUACUCAUCAGCUGAUACCAGUAACUCCAGACAGGCUAUACUCACCCUCAUCAGCUGAUAACAGUAACUCCAGACAGGCUAUACUCACCCUCAUCAGCUGAUACCAGUAACUCCAGACAGGCUAUACUCAUCAGCUGAUACCAGUAACUCCAGACAGGCUAUACUCACCCUCAUCAGCUGAUAACAGUAACUCCAGACAGGCUAUACUCACCCUCAUCAGCUGAUAACAGUAACUCCAGACAGGCUAUACUCACCCUCAUCAGCUGAUAUCAGUAACUCCAGACAGGCUAUACUCAUCAGCUGAUAACAGUAACUCCAGACAGGUUAUACUCAUCAGCUGAUACCAGUAACUCCAGACAGGCUAUACUCAUCAGCUGAUACCAGUAACUCCAGACAGGCUAUACUCAUCAGCUGAUAACAGUAACUCCAGACAGGCUAUACUCACCCUCAUCAGCUGAUAACAGUAACUCCAGACAGGUUAUACUCAUCAGCUGAUGACAGGCUAUACUCACCCUCAUCAGCUGAUAACAGUAACUCCAGACAGGCUAUACUCAUCAGCUGAUAACAGUAAACUCCAGACAGGCUAUACUCAUCAGCUGAUGACAGGCUAUACUCAGGAAGACUUCUACAGACUGAGAUGUUUGUCAGUUGGAGGAAAGGAAGCCACAGAAUAAAUUUGGUCUUCAACAAAUUGGCGGACGAUAUAGGAAGAGUGUACUUUUUUUUGUCCCUUUGUUUCUCACUAUUCCAGAGUGUAUUUAAACUGAUUCUCCAAAAUAAAUGGAAAUUGGGUUGCUA